GCUCGGAAUCACUGGGCGUAAAGGGUGCGUAGGCGGGUCUUUAAGUCAGGGGGGAAAUCCUGGAGCUCAACUCCAGAACUGCCUUUGAUACUGAAGAUCUUGAGUUCGGGAGAGGUGAGUGGAACUGCGAGUGUAGAGGUGAAAUUCGUAGAUAUUCGCAAGAACACCAGUGGCGAAGGCGGCUCACUGGCCCGAUACUGACGCUGAGGCGCGAAAGCGUGGGGAGCAAACAGG
rnacentral:rRNA from 1 species